ensembl:lncRNA
GUCUCAGCCUCCUCCUGCCUCCUGCAAGGAUAAGAGUCAGUGCAGACAGCUGCCCUGGUUUUCCCAGAGCAGACCCCCAGGGCAUCUCAAGGCAGACCUGUGACACCCCAGUUCCCGUCCAGCUCUGGUUGACCACGGGCAAACUCUCUUUGCCCAUCUGUAAAUUGGGUGCAAUAAAUCCUGCCUCCCUCCCUCAGAAGGUUACCAGGAGGGGCAGACUGGGGGGGGGGCGGAGUGGGCAAGCCCCCACAGUCUGCAAACUGCGGGACACGUGGAGGACAAUGUAGGGGAGAAGCCUCUGGACUCAGCGGCCUCUGCUCCUCUGUGUGUCUUUAAGUGUGCGGCCGAGUCACGUCCGAGAAGCCGGGCAGGCAGGCAGGAAGACUUGACUAGAGCCCGAGAAUCCAGCGUCCCCCUGCAGCCCACCCCCGGUCACAUCAGCUGUGUACACACUCGACUUCUGGAGCAGCACGUGGCCACUCGCUGGUUCUCAACGUGGUGGCAGCUUUGAAUCACCUGGGAGAUUUUAGCAAAUGCCAGUGGCCAAGCUCCACGCCAGAUCGAGAAGCAUCGGCCGAGACCAGACAUUCCUGGCAGGCUGGGGCCUGGUGACACUGUGAAUUCCAAAAGGACUUGGGGGUGUCCGUCUGCGCAGAGUCUUAGGUGGCUGUUGGGGGCCUGGAGUCACCGAUCUGGGCGAAUGGACUCUUGGGGACCCUUAGCCGGGAGUUGCCCACCUGGCAGGGUCCAGGCAGAAAGGACCACAGGGGUGAGCCGGGGACGCGGUUACUGAUGUUUCUGAGAGACCUGAUCCACUCACCUGUGUCAAGAAGACCUUGUUUUGCUCCUGGCUGUGCUCAAGAGGAGUACAGGGACUGGGGAGCCGGCCAGCCGAAAAGUGACCUUCUCAGGGUGACACUGACCAACCAGCUAGAGUUUCAAUGGUAGGGGUGUCUGAGAGACGAUUUGAAGAUGCUCUAGAUGAGGGUCACUUCUUCCUCUUCUUCUUCUUCUUUUUUUUUUUUUUUUGCUGAGGAAGAUUAGCCCUAACCUAACCUAACAUCUGUUGUCAAUCUUCCUCUUUUCGCUUGAGGAAGAUUCGCCCUGAACUAACGUCUGUGCCAAUCUUCCUCUAUUUUAUGUGCAUGGCUGCUGACAAGUGGUGUAGGUCUGUGCCCGGGAACCGAACCUGGGCUGCUGAAGCAGAACACAUCGAACUUAACCACAAGGCCACAGAGCCGGCCCCGAUGAGGGUCCCUUCUUUUCGAUGAGUCUGGAGAGUCUGCACAGGGGUGGGGUUACCAUGCACCAGUCGAUUCAUCCAGGGCUUGUGGGUGGCUGUCCUCUGGGUGGUUGUCCUAGCCAGUGGCCCAGCAGAACUCGUGUCCCCACUGUGUCAAGGACAAUUGGCUACAGGGUGGCUGAGGGCAUAUCUGAUCGUAGGGUUCGAGGAGGGGGUGUCCUCAUUGCUCUUUAAGGACAACAUUGUCCAAUUUUCUUUAAAGUGAUCGCACGUGGUUUUGUUGAUCUCUCUCAGGAAGAGGAAGUAUGUUCGUUGUCAUGAGCUGGUACCGAUGGACGGAGGGCGGCUGGCCAUUCUGGCUUUCCUGGGACCGCCCUGCUCUUAAAACCGAAAGUCCCACAGCCUGGGAAACGCCUCUAUCCUGGGCAAACCGGACCUCCCCAGUGGAGGGAAAAGUCACAAGUUCACAUGACAUGCUGGUCUCGCCAGUCGCUGACCGUCUAACCUGCGUGUCGCCUGCAUGUCCCCGUGGCCGGGUGGAAUGACACCUCCGCACACAUUUGCAGUUCACCAUUGGGUCCAGCGAGCCAGAAUCCUGAGGCUGUUGCUCUUCUUUUUCUUAAGUCAGUUUACAGUGGUUUCUGUUACUUGCAACUGACAAAAUUCUGACAGGUGACAAGCGCAGGCCCUCUGCAUCCCUGUAUCAACCAGCUACAGCCUCAUGGCACAGUGCCUGGCUCAGAACAGGCACUCCGGCCAUGGCAGCUCAGCGAACGAGAGGACGUGCCCUGGCCCUGUAGUGGGCAGCAAUUGCAGUCAGCUGCAAGUAACAGGGAUGCGUGGAGACGCUCCUUGACUCGCAGUGUGACGACAGGCACAGACUGUAGCACGUGGGAGGUGGACGAUGCAUAGCUGCUGGAGAAGUGAAUAAGAUGUUGGGCAGCAGACGGAUGAGUGGAGGGGCAGAUGGAGUCAUUAACUCAGCCAGCAUCCCUGAGCGCUCACAACGGGGGAGGCACCAUGGAUACAAUGUGGAAUAACAAAGUGCCUGCCCUCAGGCGGCUUGCUGUCUGGGAGGUAAGAAGCAGGCAGAGAGACCUGGAAACAAAUCUUAGACCUGCACUAGGCACGCAUGGCUAUUAAGCACUAAAAAAGCCAUCAGUGAUCGCUUGAGAUAUGCUGUAAGUGUAAAAUACAUGCCAGAUUUUGAAGCCUAGGUACAGGAAAAUAAUGCAAAAUCUCGUUAAUAAUGGUUUUAUAUUGAUCGUGCAUUGAAAUGACAACAUUUUGGAGACAUUGGGUUAAAUAAGAUAUUAAAAUGAAUUUCACCUGUUUCUUUUAAAGUGUUUUAAUGUUGCUACUAAAAAAUUUGAAAGUACGCAAGUGGCUCACAUUAUUUCUAUGUUGCACAGCACUGCACUAGGCCUUCAUAAUAUAGUGAAAGUGCUGUCAUGAGUGAGUGCACCAGGAGUGAUAGGAACACAGAGGGGGGCUUCCUGGAGGAGGGGUCUUAAGUGGCAAUGUAGAUAAGUGCUCACCAGAACCUAGGAGAUGCAGCCAAAGCAAUUCUUGAAGGAAAAGUCAUAGCCUUGAAAACUUAUGUUAAUAAACAGGAAAGAAUGAAAAUUGAUGAAUUAAGUAUAUGGUUCAAAUUUGAAAAAGAACAAUUGAACAAAGCUAGGAAACACAAAAGGCAGAAAUAAAGAUAAGAGAGGAAAUUAGUGUAUUAACAAGAGAUAGAAUUAACAAAUGUAUCAAAGCCCUGGAUUUCUUUUUUUUUUUAAAAAAAACAUUUCUUCUGCACUCCUUUUCUUCUUCUUUUUCCUUUUUUAUUGGGUUCAAGUACAUGUGAUGCAAACUUUACCAUCGUAACCAUUUUUAACUGUACAGUUCUGUGGUAUUUUGAGGGGAAAAGAAGCCCCUAACAAUAAAAGGGACACAAUUAACCAUCCCAAUCAAGAAAAAAGGAGAAGAAACCAUAUACAAAAUUAAAAUCCUGUGGGGAAACCAACUACGGAGACACAGAAAGGUCAAAUUCUCAGAAAAUGGGUUCUGGUGGUUGUAAAGGAUUUUGAGAAUUUGAAAACAUAGAAAACAUAAUUUCUAAAAAAUUAUUCCAAAAGAGAUAUAAAAUCUACACAAAUGGAUUACCCUAGGAUAAAUAGGAAGUUGUGCAAGUAUACUACCCUUUCAAAAAAGAAGGCAUAAAGGUCCAGAAUAUUUCAAAGGAGGUCCCCUGCCGCGUCACGUAGGUCAAGACGAUUAAACACUACUGAAACUGCUCGAGCACGUAAAAGAAGAGAAAUUCCCAAUUCCCUUUAUGUAGCAAGCAUACGUCGACACCCAAAUCCACCAAGGGUAUCUCGGAAAGAGAAAAAGGCAUACCAGUGUUGCUUAGGAAUGUUGAUGCAAAAAUAGGGAACCAGGAAACUCAGCGGUGUGUUAGAGGGAUAAAACGUGACGAUCAAGUGGAGUGGGCUCCAGAAAUGCAAGGAUGGCUGAAUGUUAGAAAACCUCUUAACGCAAUUGCAAGUGAUCAUAGAGUUCAAUGAAGCGGAUGGGUCCAAAUCGAUCUGUGGAAACCACACACACGGCGAUCUAUGAUGGCAUCAGAGACCCCAUUUAUGAGAGCCACAUAAAGAACCAUUAGGAGCAAAUUUAAUGGGACCUGUGGUUACCCACUGUGGGUGGUCCGGUUACUUCCUUUUGUCUGUUUUCCCAUCACCUUGGGUUCUGUAGACGAGCUCUAUUGCAGGCAUGAAAUCCUGGCCGUGUGGGAGCUGGUGGAGAAGGGGCCGGGGCAGAGGAGGGUCAAACCCGACCCUCAAGGACAAACCCCCCCAUGUCGGUCUCUCUCGCUUCCUACCUUGAUGCCUGAUGCCCUGCAGGAGAAGCUGGCGCCUUUGCCACGUAGCUGCAUGACCUGGGGCUCAGAGAAGCCGGGGACCACCACGGAGCCUGAUGCUCACCGCUCCUCCAGAGCUGCCUGUGGACCGUGUGCUCUGGGAAAUGUCGCUGCAGCCUAGCCCAAACCCCACAGGACACAGCCACCCCGUUUUGGGGGAAGGGUGAAGGGGUGCUUCUAUGUAGGGUGGCUAAUUGUUUUGGGGUUCAGGGAUCUGCUUGGGACUAGGGGGGUUCUUCCCUGGGACGCGGGAUUUUCUGUGCUAAAAUCAGGCGGGUCCUGGGCAAGCUGGGAUGGGGGGUCAUCCUAUUUAUAUGACCUGGGUCGUAGAGAAUUAACUUACCCUAAGAAAGCUCUUGUCUCUGCCCUCGGCUCCUGGGAGGGGAUCUCUAGGUCCUUGGAAUGUCCUGCCUUAUAAAAGUGUCCUUGUUUACCUGGGAACUUCGGCCACAUCAGACAGUCUAACAAGGUGACUUGUGAUGGGGGCUUUGGGACAUGUGGUGUCCGCUCUACCUCGGGAAGCACCGGGGACCGAUGGCCAGACACGUGGACAGUCAGCCGUGUCUAGGAGAUGGAGCCUGAUGAAAACUCCACCUGCCGGGGCUCGGGGGGGCCCCCCAGGUUGGCGAUACUCCUAGUGUGUUGCCAGGAGGAGCUGACAUCGCCCGUGACCCCCUGGGAGAGGAUGAGCAGAGCUCCAUGCGUGGAACUUCCCCAGGCUCUGCCCGUGCGUCUCUGCCCUUGGCUGAUUUCCACCUGUAUCCUUGUAAUAAACUGUAAAUGUGAGUUUAAC